AAUAUCCAAGAUUAAAAAUAUAUUUUCAGUAAUUUAGACAUAAUAGACACUUCUGCUAUUUUCACAGCUGUUAUGGAUUCAUCUCGAUAUGCAAGACUUAGAAGACGGCUAAUAUUAUCAAAGAAAAGGAAUAGAUAUUUUAAUAUUAUUAGAACAUAAUCGAAAACUUCUACUGAUAUAGGUAAUACUUUAUAGACACAUAUUUUCUAACAUAUCAG
rnacentral:lncRNA from 1 species